rnacentral:lncRNA from 1 species
AGAGAGGUGUCUUGUGGACCUCUUAGGAAUCCACCUUCUUUAUGUUGUUCUUGAACAACAUUCACGUGCUCAAAAUGAUCGUCCUCAACAUACUCCUACUGAAUAUACUCAUCAUGCUUCUAAAUGACAUCAAAAUUUGUUUCUUCUUUGCAUGCUCUACAAGCUAAGCUAAUGUCGUAAGUCUUCUCCUUUCACCCAGUGAUGAACUCUCACCAC